UCUGGACCAACAGCUAGGGAGCCUGCGUGGGACUGACCUAGGCCCUCGGCAUGUGUAACUUGGUCUGUCUGUGGAGCCCACAGCAGUGGAUCAGGACCUGUCCCUGGCACAUGAGCUGGCUUUUCGGAACCUAUUCCCUAUGCUGGGGUGCCUCGGCCAGCCUUGGUGUAGGGAGAGGAGCUUGGUCCUGCUUCAAGGACAGAAGACAGCAUUGCUGCUAGAGGAGUAAUGGGUACUAACUCUGCUUCACAAGAAGUGCCGAGGACCGUCUCCAGCCAACCUGCAGCCAUUGGGGAGGAAAAUUCUGCUGCUGGAGAAAUAGUAGAUGUUCACACUGUUUCAAAAGAGGCCUGAAAGCCAACUUCACCCAUGAGGACCUGGAAUAUGGAAUUUAUGAGCUCCCGAAGCCUUAGAUAAGUGCCAAGCCCACCUUCUUUUGCAUCCAACUAUGAUGAGCCUGUGUGUGUCAAGUCUGUGGAAGCUCUUUGUACCAAUCAGCCUCAUUAAGGUUGGUGACAACAAGAACCUGGAGGAAUGAGUAGGCCUCUGUGCAAGCGAUCAAGAGAGGAACUCCUGCAAAGUGGUUGGCUGUAGUUGUGCAGUUGUUAAGGACUGUGACAGUCUAAAGCCAAGGGUGCCAUCAAAGAGUACUUCAAAUGCAAGGCACGAACAAACUUAAAGCUGAGUUUGAUGGAGGGCCAGAGAGAAGAAAAAGAGGUCAAAGCCGCUAGAAAGAGAACGGAAGACGCACAGAGGUCCUUGUACCCUUACAGGGUGGCGUGAGAUCUCCCACCAGCUCCUCUCCUCGAGGCUGUGUCUGUUGGUAGACAGUAUAGCCUGUGUGUCUCCUCUGAAUUCAUUUGCUGGAGAUGGAAAGAAAAGGGAGCCCAGGAGGCCAGAGCAAGAUUCCAGCAGCAGUUUCACGUGACUUCUGCGGCAAGGUAACUCAGACCGGGUGGCUUAAAGUAGCAGAUGCCUAUCAGACGGGGCUAGAGGCUGUGCUGAUCAGACCCUGGAGACACGCUAGUGUCUCAUAGAACAUUUAAUUCCAGACUUGCUUCUCUCCUGAGGUGCUAGGGAAGGCCCUUCCUUUCCCAGCUUAUUGACAUUUGAACAUUUAAUUCCACCAGACUUGCUUCUCUCCUGAGGUGCUAGGGAAGGCCCUUCCUUUCCCAGCUUAUUGAAGCUUCAGCUUUUCCUUGAGUUGGGGUAGCACACAUCAGAUUUCUGUCUCCAUCUUUUUUAAAAAACUGAAGGGCAAAUAAGUGACGUUCAUUGAGAAGUCAAGAAACAGUUCCUUCCAGCCCAGAGGAGACUUGAAAAUGAGUUACUGAGUCUCCACCUUUUAAAAAGGUAUCUGUUUGUUAAUUUGAGACAGCGUCUCAUGUAGCCCAGGCAGGCCUGAAAUUCGCUGUGGCUCUGAGGAGGACCCGGAGCUUCUGCUACUUCUCUCUCUAGCUCUGCAUGCUUGGAUUAAAGACAUGUACCACUGUCUUGGCUAUAGUUUCUGUCGCUAUGAAGAGCAUGACCGCAACAACUCUUAGAAAAGAAAAUAUUUAAUUGGGGGCUGUCUUACAGGUUCAGAGGUUUAGUUCUUUAUCACCAUGGUGGGAAGUAUGGCAGCA